UUAUACGCCCUUUGGGGGAAAGAUUUAUCGGAGAAGGAUUAGCCCGCGUUAGAUUAGGUAGUUGGUGGGGUAAUGGCCUACCAAGCCUACGAUCUAUAGCUGGUUUGAGAGGAUGAUCAGCCACACUGGGACUGAGACACGGCCCAGACUCCUACGGGAGGCAGCAGUAGGGAAUCUUAGACAAUGGGGGCAACCCUGAUCUAGCCAUGCCGCGUGUGUGAUGAAGGCCCUAGGGUCGUAAAGCACUUUCGCCAGAGAUGAUAAUGACAGUAUCUGGUAAAGAAACCCCGGCUAACUCCGUGCCAGCAGCCGCGGUAAUACGGAGGGGGUUAGCGUUGUUCGGAAUUACUGGGCGUAAAGCGCACGUAGGCGGAUUAGUAAGUUAGAGGUGAAAUCCCAGGGCUCAACCCUGGAACUGCCUUUAAUACUGCUAGUCUUGAGUUCGAGAGAGGUAAGUGGAAUUCCGAGUGUAGAGGUGAAAUUCGUAGAUAUUCGGAGGAACACCAGUGGCGAAGGCGGCUUACUGGCUCGAUACUGACGCUGAGGUGCGAAAGUGUGGGGAGCAAACAGGAUUAGAUACCCUGGUAGUCCACGCCGUAAACUAUGAUUACUCGCUAUUGGCGAUACACUGUCAGUGGCUAAGCGAAAGUGAUA
rnacentral:rRNA from 1 species